rnacentral:rRNA from 1 species
CCUACGGGAGGCAGCAGUGAGGAAUAUUGGUCAAUGGGCGAGAGCCUGAACCAGCCAAGUCGCGUGAAGGAUGACUGCCCUACGGGUUGUAAACUUCUUUUGUCAGGGAGCAAUUGGGUCCACGCGUGGGCUUAGCGAGAAUACCUGAAGAAAAAGCAUCGGCUAACCCCGUGCCAGCAGCCGCGGUAAUACGGAGGAUGAGAGCGUUAUCCGGAUUUAUUGGGUUUAAAGGGUGCGUAGGCGGAAUAUCAAGUCAGCGGUAAAAAUUGGGGGCUCACCCCCGUCGUGCCGUUGAAACUGGUGGUCUUGAGUGGGCGAGAAGUAUGCGGAAUGCGUGGUGUAGCGGUGAAAUGCAUAGAUAUCACGCAGAACUCCGAUUGCGAAGGCAGCAUACCGGCGCACAACUGACGCUGAAGCACGAAAGCGUGGGUAUCGAACAGGAUUAGAUACCCUAGUAGUC